rnacentral:rRNA from 1 species
CGUAGGGGCAAGCGUUGUCCGGAAUCAUUGGGCGUAAAGAGCGCGUAGGCGGUCCGGUAAGUCAGCUGUGAAAGUCAAGGGCUCAACCCUUGAAAGCCGGUUGAUACUGUCGGGCUAGAGUCCGGAAGAGGCGAGUGGAAUUCCCGGUGUAGCGGUGAAAUGCGCAGAUAUCGGGGAGGAACACCAAUGGCGAAGGCAGCUCGCUGGGACGGUACUGACGCUGAGGCGCGAAAGCGUGGGGAGCAAACAGGAUU